AUUUACGAGGCCAGCACAAAACCCCAGCUUUCUCCUCCCUCCAAGCCUGGGCAGGAGGCUGACAGGGAAGCCCCUACUUCAUCUUGACUAUGGACCCAGCCCCCCAGCCCCUCAGCCCCCGCAGCUCCCUCCAGCCACUGUGUGAGCCCCCAGCCCCUGCACAGAUACCUACUGGCACCCUGGCGGGUCGCUGCUCCAUGCAGCCCCUCCCAGUCCGUCCACGCUGCGGCGUCCCCGGUCCCCUCUGGCCUCAAGGCCUCAGGCAGGUGGAAUGAAAGGACUAUGUGACCUGUGUCCAUCUGUUUCCUGCCGCCUGCCCGUGUCUGUACCCAGCAGGUCCCGCUCUCGCCCAGCUCCAUGUUCCUCUUCCAGUCCAGUCCUCUGCUCCACCUCCCACCAUGGCUUCUGUUCCAGUGCUGACCACGCCUCCCCCUGCCCUCCCUGCGGGGCCCUGGGCUGCGGCGCACAGAGGGGAUACCUAGGGCCGACCCAACCCUGCUCGGGCAGAGGUUUCCGUGCCAAGCCAUCCUAGACUGCAUUUGGUGACCAUUUCGUGGUGCUGGAGUUGGGGAGGGUGUCAGCGGGCACAAGCCCGCCCCAGCGGGGUCAGUGGAUGUGGUGGCCUCUGCCCCCCAGGUGCAGGACCAGCCUGCAGCCUGGGCCUCCCUGGAGAAGCGCCCUCAGCCCCGUGCUGCUCCCAUGAAAUGCUCUAGGGAGGAACGCAGCCCAGGAAUGACUGAACGAUGGCCCAGGGCAGGACAGCAGACACACCUGGCAGCAGGUGCCGAUGCCUCGGGGGUCUGUGCUGACCCACCGCCCACCGCCUGGGCUGUGUCUGCACAGGAGCAAGUCCUGCAGCAGAGCCUGAGAAAUAGAGGUCGGGGCGUGGGGCAGGGCCUCUGGGGGACGGGGUCUGGGGUGGGGCAGGGCCGAGGCCGAGGUGGCCUGUGUUCCUGGGCUCAGCAUCCACCCCAUGCCCGUGGACUCCGCCCCACAGUGGGGCGAGCACUUUCUCGGGAUCUUUCCACAGGGGACACUUAGGCACGAAUUGCUGUUUCCGCGGGCUCUGCUCUCUCCUGGUGGUGGCCUCCGAGCCCAGACGGUUGUCCAGUCGGUUGCGGCCAUGAAGGGCCCAGCAGGACUGAAGCAGCAUGUGAGGAGGUCGAAGAAGACGCCUUGGCAGAAGCUGGAAGGCUUCCCCAUCUUAAGCCAGCGUCGCCGCAGCAGGCCCCAGACGCGGGGAGCAUCAGGCCGCUCCCUGGAGAAGACACCGGCGGUGCCCACGGGCCAGGGGCUGAGCCAGCACGUGUGGGUGGCAGCCUGGUGGCCCGGCCAGCCCCGCAGGGCCCACAGUCCUCCAGAGGGGACCUGGAGCAGGACACGGCAGCCGCGCCUCCGGGUGGCGGGAAGAGGCCUCCUGGACGAGGAAGAUGGACCGAACCUGGGUCAGGCUUCAGAGCUGCCUGCCCCUUCCGCCGGCCCCAGGGUCCCGCCACCGGUGCCGGAACCAACGCUGGACGCCCAAGCUCAAGCGGACCCGUGGUCCAGCCCACAGGUUAUUUCCCCCCUGAGCGUGCUGCGCCGUCCCCCCCCAAAGUUCCUCCUAAGGGGCCGCUUUAGCCCCCAUGACUUUCUGUGUCUCCCCUGCGACUGACGAGUCCGCGGUCCUGCUGCGUCAGGGGGACCCACAAACACUUGCAGUAGGUGGGGAGGCUGUGGGUUCAGUUUUUAAAAAAACCAAAUCUGAUCCAGAGACUGUUUCUGGACUGAUUUCUGAUGAAACGCCCACAUUCCACAUUGGAGGAAACCACGUGAAAGGAAGUAUUUUAGACCGUUUCUCCUAAUUGCUGUUAACGAGACCAAAACAGAGGCUGAGGGCGCAGCUGAGGGGUUUCCACGAGGACAGCCCGUAGGUUGUGUUGGGGGCCCUGCCCUGGAGCCCCCCCGCCCGGCCCCUGCCCGCCAAAGCCGCUCAGGAUUUCUGUCCCUACUUGUAGGAAGCCGCCUGGGGGAGGCGGACAGGGCAGCUGGGGGCAAGUAUCCCCCAAAAGGCAGGCGCCGUCUCCCCACGAUCUUGGUGGGGUGCCCCAGGCCCCACCCAUCAUGUGGCUGCUGUGACCUCCUGCCUCGGCGGGGCUGCUGGCGCCGCAGAAGCAGGUUCACCGGCCCCUUCGGCGUGAGGCACCCACAUCCCCCGCAGGACAGCGGCUCCUCGAGGCCUGAGGCCCCUCCCUCGGCGACCCGAGCCCACGUCUGCUCCGACGCGGAGGGGGCCGUCCGGCGCCGGCCAGGACGCCGAGUCCACAGGGUAACUACAGCGGCUCGCGCCCCCCACCCGGCCUUCCCGGGACGCCCAGGCCCGGCCCCGGCGCGCUCCCGCGUCCGACACACUGACCAAGGCUGAGCCGAAACUCUGCCCAGAGCCGGCCGACGAGGCACGAGACCAAGCGCCUUCCCCCGACGGGGCUGGAGGUGAGCAGGAGCUCAGCCCGCGGCCACCGCCACCCUGGGUGCCCUCCGUGGCCGCCAGCAAGUCAGGGGCGCUCGGGGGCUCCGCGGAGCCUGCACACAGCAGCCCGGCCGCUGAUCGCCCUGAGAACCAGGUCGGGGUGGACGCUCCCUGGACUCGCUCAGAGCGAGGACCCCGGUGAGGGAAGAAAGGCCCGGAGCAGGGCGGCUCCAGGGGCGUGUGUCGCCCACGCGUGUGCCCGCCCGCGUGCUGGAGGAGCCCGGGAUCCCCACGCCUGGCCGCCGUUGGGCUCAUCCUCUGAGGGGACGAGCUCGCCUCCCUCCCGUGUGGCCCUUCCCGGCACCCGCCCGCUGGGCCAGCUGCUGCCAGCCUCCCUCCUGCCCUGGGCGACCCUCCCCGGCCUCCUCAGUGGGAAGGCCAGCUCCGUCCUGGGAGAAGUGGAACAGGCCAGGCACCCAGAGCAGCCCCCGUGUCUCCGUCCCCACGUGCUCCGCCAGGGGAGCAGCUCAGGGCCGCAGCAGCUGCACCUGGGUGGCCCGGGAGGGGGGGACACGGAGACAUCGGCCAUCAGCUUGCCCGGGAGCUGCCGCCAGCCGGCCACGCUGACACGGUGCAGCUGCCAGGCUCUGAGAGACGGGCCCGUGCCGAGGACGUGGCCGUCAGCGUGGGGCAGGGGGUGCGCCGCCCAUGCAUGCGGCCACGGAUGCGGAGCAUGCGCCUGAUAACACACCCACGUGCGCACAAUCACGGGCACCCAUAGGUGCGCACACACAGCCGUGCACAUGUAUGACCACACACGUGAGCACACACAAGCACACACAGGGCAGGUAGCGGUCCCUGGGGUGCAGACCGCUCUCCUCCAGCAGAGCCCCCUCUUUCAGGAGCAGGUUUGGGGGCGUCUCCUGAAUCCUUGUCUCCCCUCCUUGGCCUCCGCUGGAUUUACGGAUCUGAGUAAAGCUUGGUGAGUGCUUCCUCCCAAACCCCACGGCCGCCAAAGACGCUCACACCUCAGAGACCAGUUUCCUCGAGCGUGACCUGUGUUCCCUCCGUCCUUCCUGCAGGAAGAAGGUCUUGGGAAGUGUUUGUGGUGCCGCAGUCAGAUGUCCGACCACCCGCCCCGACCCGCUGCAGGGCUGAGUGCGGCCUAGACCCACGGGCCAGAAGCUCGACAGUGAGCCGGCCUCCCAGGGGCGCACGCCCGGCCGGGUGUCAGCAGCAGCUGGGGGGAGCAGCACCCCUGCCAGCGCUGGGAAAUGCCCCAGGGGGCGGAGGGCAUGGGCGGUAAAGGUACCAGGAGGGCCAACAGCGUCACUCCCGUGCCGCGCUCUGCGGGGUGCUGGCCUCUGGCGCCGGGGGCGGGGGGGGGGUGUUAUGGAGACCCCGAAAUGCAGGGCCUGCUUCCAGGGAGGACCCCCUGCCCCCACCCCACAGCGGCCAGCCUGCCACUGCCCUCUGCCGACCAUGCCGGCCCACCACACUCCUGGCCCUGGCGGGCAGAGGGAGGGGACCACAGGAGAAGGAGGCCCGUGUCAGCUCCAGUCAGCGUCAGCAAGCCGGUUGCUGUGGCAACGGGAGGAUGGGGGUGGAGGGGCUGAGUCCUUCUGGAAAGCAGGGAAUGUGUGUCCUCCUUCCAUGGAGCCAAAUUCUUCACGCUCUGCCUCCCCCUCCCAAACCCAUGUGACCACCCAGGCCCGGGGAUGGAGCUAGGCCCUGCUGUCCUGGGGGGCCUCACCCCACGGCCAGGUUCUGCUUGGGGUGUCGUCAGCAGGAGGGACGCUCCCCCAUGCUGCAGGGUCCCUAACGCCCUCACGGGCCACAUUCCAUCCGGAUAGACCGGAGGAUGCCCGGGCGGUCACCCAGGGACAGUCACUGCGGCUCCCUCGCCUGGCUUAUGGGGGAAUCAGUGAGCUCAGCCAAAAGCAGAGGCUGGGUAGGCCUGACCCCAGCAGGGACCCCAAGGCCUCAGGCCCCCCCCUGCCCCCCGUGCACAUAGGCCUUUACCUGACGCUGCCGCACACACCCGCCUGGAGGGUAGCCGCUGACCCAGCCUAGGCAGGAGCUGGCUGCAGCACUGCUGGAAGCCAGGACCCCAGCCCGGCAGCCCCGGGGGGGCCAGCAUGCACGGGCCAGGCCGCAGGGUCACACCCACCCCAGCACCCAGCGAGGGGUGGGCAGCCGAGCUGGGAGCCUGCAUCCGGGGGACCCAGGAAGCCCUGACCUCGGGGGGCCACCCGGGGAGAGGCUCGUGGGCAUCCAGAUGGCUCCUGGUUCUUCAGUUAUUACUUUAUGUAAACAAACAAGAGUCGCUGGUUCUAAAUAAAGUUGUCUGUG
rnacentral:lncRNA from 12 species